CAGCAGCCGCGGUAAUACGUAGGUGGCAAGCGUUGUCCGGAAUUAUUGGGCGUAAAGGGCUCGCAGGCGGUUUCUUAAGUCUGAUGUGAAAGCCCCCGGCUCAACCGGGGAGGGUCAUUGGAAACUGGGAAACUUGAGUGCAGAAGAGGAGAGUGGAAUUCCACGUGUAGCGGUGAAAUGCGUAGAGAUGUGGAGGAACACAGUGGCGAAGGCGACUCUCUGGUCUGUAACUGACGCUGAGGAGCGAAAGCGUGGGGAGCGAACAGGAUUAGAUACCCGCGUAGUCCCUGUCUCUUAUACA
rnacentral:rRNA from 1 species